UACGUAGGGGCGAGCGUUGUCCGGAUUUAUUGGGCGUAAAGGGUUCGCAGGCGGCCUUUUAAGUCAGAUGUGAGAUCCCAUAGCUCAACUAUGGUAAGCAUUUGAAACUGGAAGGCUUGAGUUAAGGAGAGGAAAGUGGAAUUCCUAGUGUAGCGGUGAAAUGCGUAGAUAUUAGGAGGAAUACCAGUGGCGAAGGCAGUCUUCCAAGCCGUUAUUGACGCUCAACUGCGAAGGUGUGGGUAUCAAACAGGAUUAGAUACCCUGGUAGUCCCU
rnacentral:rRNA from 1 species